UUCUGGUAGUGACUCAGCUAUUAGAGCAAGAUGUGGAAGCAAGGUCUGGAGUCAAAAGGCUUUAGAGUUAAUUUAGCAAAAAUCAAAGUCUUAUUAAAUAGGAAAGCAGACAAAUCUCUUCAGGUGGACGGCCCUGAUCGAUAUGUAGAAAAGGCGUAGUUAGAAACUCUAUGAGAUGCACCCAGUGUAAGCUAUGGACACAUAAGAGGUGCAGCAAUGUCAAAGGAAGGCUAACUAGGAAAAUAGUUUUUGUAAGUGGCAGAUGUUCAGGAGUAAUAAACACAGAAAAUGCGCAGAGACCAACCUCCGCCACAUUCCAGGGA